UACAGAGGUCCCAAGCGUUGUUCGGAUUCAUUGGGCGUAAAGGGUGCGUAGGCGGCGCGGUAAGUCGGGUGUGAAAUCUCGGAGCUUAACUCCGAAACUGCAUACGAUACUGCCGUGCUUGAGGACUGGAGAGGAGACUGGAAUUUACGGUGUAGCGGUGAAAUGCGUAGAUAUCAGGAGGAACACCGGUGGCGAAGGCGCCACUCUGGGCCGGUACUGACGCUGAGGAGCGAAAGCGUGGGUAGCAAACAGG
rnacentral:rRNA from 1 species